AAUGAACGCUGGAGGCAGGCCUAACACAUGCAAGUCGAACGAGGCAGCAAUGCCUAGUGGCGGACGGGUGAGUAACGCGUGGGAACGUGCCCCUUGGUACGGAAUAGCCCUGGGAAACUGGGAGUAAUACCGUAUGUGGUCGAGAGACGAAAGAUUUAUCGCCAAGGGAUCGGCCCGCGUUGGAUUAGGUAGUUGGUGGGGUAAUGGCCUACCAAGCCGACGAUCCAUAGCUGGUUUGAGAGGAUGAUAAGCCACACUGGGACUGAGACAAGGCCCAGACUCCUCCGGGAGGCAGCAGUGGGGAAUCUUAGACAAUGGGGGAAACCCUGAUCUAGCCAUGCCGCGUGAUCGAUGAAGGCCUUAGGGUUGUAAAGAUCUUUCAGUGGGGAAGAUAAUGACGGUACCCACAGAAGAAGCCCCGGCUAACUCCGUGCCAGCCGCCGCGGUAA
rnacentral:rRNA from 1 species